rnacentral:rRNA from 1 species
AGUCUGGUGCCAGCAGCCGCGGUAAUUCCAGCUCCAAUAGCGUAUAUUAAAGUUGUUGCAGUUAAAAAGCUCGUAGUUGAAAUUUUGAUUGUAGCGGUCAGUCUCACAACAGUGAGUGCUAGAUGUGCUGUGGUCAUGUUUCGUUGGAACGUGUGUGGCAUUGAGUUGUCGUGCAUGGGAAGACGAUCGUUUACUGUGAAAAAAUUAGAGUGUUCAAAGCAGGCUUAUGCCGUUGAAUAUAUUAGCAUGGAAUAAUAAGAUAGGACCAGGGUACUAUUUUGUUGGUUUGUGCACCUUGGUAAUGAUUAAUAGGGACAGUUGGGGAUAUUCGUAUUGCGGUGUCAGAGGUGAAAUUCUUGGAUUUCCGCAAGACGAGCUACUGCGAAAGCAUUUAUCAAGGAUGUUUUCAUUAAUCAAGAACGAAAGUUAGGGGAUCGAAGAUGAUUAGAUACCAUCGUAGUCUUAACCAUAAACUAUGCCGACAAGGGAUUGGCAGGGUGUGUUUAUGCCUCUGUCAGCACCUUAGGAGAAAUCAUAAGUUUUUGGGUUCCGGGGGGAGUAUGGUCGCAAGGCUCAAACUUAAAGACAUUGACGGAAGGGCACCACCAGGAGUGGAGCCUGCGGCUUAAUUUGACCCAACACGGGAAAACUUACCAGGUCCAGACAUAGUGAGGAUUGACAGAUUGAGAGCUCUUUCUUGAUUCUAUGGGUGGUGGUGCAUGGCCGUUCUUAGUUGGUGGAGUGAUAUGUCUGGUUAAUUCCGUUAACGAACGAGACCCCCGCCUGCUAAAUAGAUGGUCUAGUGAUUUUUCACUGGAAACAUCUUCUUAGAGGGACGUGCGUUCUAUUAGACGCAGGAAGAUGGGGGCAAUAACAGGUCUGUGAUGCCCUUAGAUGUCCUGGGCCGCACGCGCGCUACACUGAUGCAUUCAACGAGUGCCUUCACCGAGAGGUGUGGGAAAUCUUGGAAUGUGCAUCGUGAUAGGGAUAGAUUCUUGUAAUUUUUAAUCUUGAACGAGGAAUUCCUAGUAAACGCAGAUCAUCAAUCUGCAUUGAUUACGUCCCUGCCCUUUGUACACACCGCCCGUCGCACCUACCGAUUGAAUGGUCCGGUGAAGCCUCGGGAUUGUGAUGACUUUUCUUCAUUGAGAGGUCGUUGCGAGAACUUGUCUAAACCUUAUCAUUUAGAGGAAGGUGAAGUC